rnacentral:lncRNA from 1 species
GCUGAUGUUUUGCUCCAAUUACACAAAAAAUGAUUCGCUUCCAAUUUUUAAGCGAAUCUACAAGAAAGUGAAGCCAAGUGACUAAAAGAUUGAAAUUUUGGUGACGACAUAUAAUGAAAACACAGUCCAACAUCAUUUUCCCUAUUAAAAUAUGAAGAGAGCAAAAAGUGAAGAUUAUUAUACAGUCAAACCUCUCUAUAACAGCCUAAUUCGUUUCGAAUGUUUUUGGCUACUAUAGUGAAGUGCUGUUAUAGAUGACAUAUAUUAUAACAUAUUAUAAUAUUCGGUUCCGAGAAUAACUCAGGUUUUAUAGUGAAUGACUAUUAUAUAAGGAUGUUGUUAUAGAGAGGUCUGACUGAAUUUGAAGUAGAUAUUAUAGAUCAAAAUUUCUAAAUAUUGUACAAAUGCCUGAUAAACUAACUAUAGAAAGAGUAAAACAUCUCAUUAAUUCAAUCAUUGUUCUGGAUUGACCAUACUGCAAGGUUUAUAAUAUAUAAACCUGACAAAAAAUGUUUUAAGGAAAGCUAAAGCGGGACUACAUAAGAGUUUGAAUAAUAAAUUAUCAGUGAUAAUUAUUAUGCUCCUAUCAAAUUAUUUAACUCUUCCACAGAAAAUUCUAAUUAGCAAAAUGUCAAGCUUUAAUCGAGCAAAAAUGUAUAUUUUUGGUUAUGAGAAAUCCAACUUAAGCCGAUAUACAAAUUGCCAAAACAUAAUAACCGGUGAAAAGGGUGUCGUUUGCGCAGUAUAUAUACCAUGAAACACAUAAAUAGAAAAAGAGUGUACCUUCUCGAAAUCUAUUGAAGGAUCCAUGGUGCAAUCGAAUUGUGCUUUUUCGCUGUUGCUGGUCCUUUUCAUGUUCUCCUUUGCUAUUCAAUGAUGAUUAUGAUGAACGUUAGUAUGCCUUGAAUUUUAAGCAUUAUUCCGUAGGUUCAUCGCUAAUUACAGAUCUUUAAUCGAAAAGAGGGAAGAGAGAUUACUGUUCGAAAUUGCCAUUAUAAUUAAUGAAAGGAAAAAGACACGGUUUGGUUGAAUUUGAUCGGCUGCCAUUAUCAACGAAGGAAGUAGAAACGGUUUGUUUAAGAAGGUUAAUCGGUGGCUU